rnacentral:rRNA from 1 species
UACGUAGGGACCAAGCGUUGUUCGGAUUUACUGGGCGUAAAGGGCGCGUAGGCGGCAAUUCAAGUCAUCUGUGAAAUCUCCGGGCUUAACUCGGAAUGGUCAGGUGAUACUGCUUUGCUAGAGUGCAGAAGGGGCAAUCGGAAUUCUUGGUGUAGCGGUGAAAUGCGUAGAUAUCAAGAGGAACACCUGAGGUGAAGACAGGUUGCUGGGCUGACACUGACGCUGAGGCGCGAAAGCGUGGGGAGCGAACAGG